UACGUAGGCAGCAAGCGUUGUUCGGAAUUACUGGGUUUAAAGGGUGUGUAGGCGGGCUUUUAAGUCAGUGGUGAAAUCUCCGGGCUCAACCUGGAAACUGCCAUUGAUACUAUUAGUCUUGAAUUUUGUUGAGGUAGGCGGAAUAAGUCAUGUAGCGGUGAAAUGCAUAGAUAUGACUUAGAACACCAAUUGCGAAGGCAGCUUGCUAAACAAAUAUUGACGCUGAGGCACGAAAGCGUGGGGAUCAAACAGG
rnacentral:rRNA from 1 species